rnacentral:tRNA from 1 species
ACCUUUUUUUACUUAUCUUGAAAAUAAGUCUUAGAGAAAUCUGAAAGGUU